GAACGGUACUGCAAUCUGCAGGAAGAAUGGUGUACAUUGUUACAGCAUGGGAAACACGGGAAAUUCGUCGUUGGUUGUAUUUGAAUGAACACACUUUAAAGAAAAAAAAAACUACUGUUACUUGAUUUUCAAGAGAGUUUUGUAUCCUUUGGAAGAAAGAUUUUACAAAGUACCCUCUUAUAAUAUCCAUAAACCAAUAGAAGCCUAGCUGUCGAAUCUUGUUACCCUCUUCCACUAAACGGGAAGAUGCAACACUGGGUGUGACGGGAUUUUAGACAAUACGGGCUUUGAUAUCAGUAAAGAAGCCGCAGUCAGUAGAAGGGUUGCAGAUAAUACACAGAGGUAGUGACGGAGCAUGUACGUGGUUGUUUGAACCCUACAUCAGUUUGAAAGGAUCUGCCCUCUUUCCUGUAAGAAACGUCACAGAUAGCAUAAUAAAAGUGGAUUUGGAGGAUGAAAAAUACCAUGUACUGUACUUUCAUAUACUAUUUUCUUGAUACUUGUCGUCUAAUACUCUAAUAUAUAAUUGAUUCAGUAAUUCUUAUGAUUUAAAAAGAAAUGUACAUAAGUAGUAGAAUGAAUUAAAAAAAAUUCACAAAUAAUAUAAACAAAUUAUGAAAUAAUACAUAAAACACUAAACAAAAUUUCCACAAAUAUAAGAGAUAUGAUCUGUAUUGUUCAAGCCUUAGAUAUGCUAUUAAUAAUAGAACGUCUACCGCCAUGUUAUACCUUAGAGUGAUCACAGAGAAUUAUGAAGUUAUAAAGACUCACUGGUGAAAAAGGUGAGUUUCAUUUCCUUUCUUUGUAAAGUUCAAUGUCCACUAAAUUGAAGGCUGGUGGGUAAACUGAUUCACAGAUGAUGCAUGUAUAUGUAAUGAUACGGUAGAUAAUAAUGUUUCACACCAACGGGUGUAUUUAACACCAAGUAAACACCGAGUACUUCAUGUAUGUACGUAGUGAUGCUCAACACGUGUAUUAAAUGUACCAUGUAUACCAAAUACUAAAUGUACAAUAUGUAUAUGUACAGGUGUAAAUACCAAAUACUAAAUGUACAAUAUGUAUAUGUACAGGUGUAAAUACCAAAUACUAAAUGUACAAUAUGUAUAUGUACAGGUGUAAAUACCAAAUACUAAAUGUACAAUAUGUAUAUGUACAGGUGUAAAUACCAAAUACUAAAUGUACAAUAUGUAUAUGUACAAGUGUAAAUACCAAAUACUGAAUGUACAAUUGUAUAUGUACAGGUGUAAAUACCAAAUACUAAAUGUACAAUAUGUAUAUGUACAGGUGUAAAUACCAAAUACUAAAUGUUCGUAGUAAUACUCAGCACAUGUACUGAAUGAACAAGCGAAUAUGAAUGCACCAAGUAAAUACCUUAUAAUUAAUGUACCUAGUAAAUAUACUCAAUAUUGAAUGUAUUUAGUAAAUAUCAAAUGUUCGGAAUGUAUUUAGUAAACAUCAAAUGCUCG